GGCCGGUUAGCUCAGUCAGUUGAGCAUGGCUCUGACGAUGCCAAGGCCACGGGUUUGAUUCCCGUUCAGUCCC
rnacentral:tRNA from 1 species